UGUUGCUUUGGAGCCACGCGAAUUGUAAUUUUCGAGAAGCGCGUUCUCGGCGGACCGGGCGCGCCUAAGUUGCUUGGAACAGCACGUCGCAGAGGGUGACAACCCCGUGUGUGGCUGAGUCCCGCCGCUCACGAUGUGCUUUCGAAGAGUCGCGUUGGUUGGGAAUGCAGCCCAAAAUGGGUGGUAAACUCCAUCUAAAGCUAAAUACGGGCGCGAGACCGAUAGCGA
rnacentral:rRNA from 1 species